AGUGAACGCUGGCGGUAGGCCUAACACAUGCAAGUCGAACGGCAGCACAGUAAGAGCUUGCUCUUACGGGUGGCGAGUGGCGGACGGGUGAGGAGUACAUCGGAAUCUACUUUUUCGUGGGGGAUAACGUAGGGGAACUUACGCUAAUACCGCAUACGACCUACGGGUGAGAGCAGGGGAUCUUCGGACCUUGCGCGAUUGAAUGAGCCGAUGUCGGGUUAGCUAGUUGGCGGGGGAAAGGCCCACCAAGGCGGCGAUCCGUAGCUGGUCUGAGAGGAUGGUCCGCCACCCUGGAACUUGGCCACCGUCCAUACUCCUACGGGAGGCCGCAGUCGGGAAUAUUGGGCAAUGGGGGCAAGCCUUGCCCAACCAUCCCGCGUGGGUUGAAGAGGCCUUCCGGUUGUAAAGCCCUUUUUUUGGGAAAAAAAAGCAGCCGGUUUAAACCCCGCUGUUCUGACGGUACCCAAAAAAUAAGCACCGGCUAACUUCGUG
rnacentral:rRNA from 1 species